GUGAUUCGGGGUGCACCAGGCGCGAAAACUUUGCAAUACACGAAAGUGUGACAGGGCUAUCCCGAGUGCCAUCCGCUGAGGAAGGCUUUUACCCAGUCUAGAACGCUGGGGGAAUAAGGAGAGGGCAAGUCUGGUGUCAGCCGCCGCGGUAAUACCAGCUCUCCGAGUGGUGUGGAUGUUUAUUGGGCCUAAAGCAUCCGUAGCUGGCUAAGUUAGUCCCUUGUUAAAUCCACCGAAUUAAUCGUUGGAUUGCGGGGGAUACUGCUUGGCUAGGGGACGAGAGAGGCAGACGGUAUUUCCGGGGUAGGGGUGAAAUCCUAUAAUCCCGGGAAGACCACCAGUGGCGAAGGCUGUCUGCUAGAACGCGCCCGACGGUGAGGGAUGAAAGCUGGGGGAGCGAACCGGAUUAGAUACCCGGGUAGUCCCAGCUGUAAACGAUGCAGGCUAGGUGUUUGGACGGCCACGUGCCGUUCUAGUGCCGCAGGGAAGCUGUUAAGCCUGCCGCCUGGGGAGUACGAUCGCAAGAUUGAAACUUAAAGGAAUUGGCGGGGGAGCACAAUCGAAU
rnacentral:rRNA from 1 species